GUGGAUGAACAGCGCUGAUCGCUGCUUGCUUGUCCUUACCUGAUGAUUUGGAGAGCCCUCGAGCUCAGCUUUUGUUCAUCACUAUUUAUUAAGGAAUUUUAGCAUCUUCCAUCAUGUGCAGUUUAAUUUGACCCGUAAACCUCUGCUGCUGCACAGCAGUUAACAGAGCAGCACGUCUUGGUGCUCGGGGAGAAGCGAUGAGCACCAAGUUAUCAAAGCCACCUGUCUGCUCCUAACUCAGCUCCGGCUGGGCUCCUUUGUGAGGCAAUGUAUACAGAGAUGCGUGUCCUAUUAAGCAUGCUAGCUUGCCUUUCUUGGAGUGAAGGGAAACAGGAAGGCAAUUAAUGUUAAAGUAUAUUUUCCCGAUGGAUUCGCUAUUAGAUUGAAAUAUGCAGAGAAGGUUAAAAAUGGGAUCUGUGUUAAGGUGGGAAGUAUAUGUACUCCAUGUCAAACAAGAGCACCUGGGAUAAGCAUUUUUUAACUAGCUAGUAGUUAUGUUCUGAAUCUCUGCAAGCCUGAUUCUGUGUUGCUGAUUUCUCAGAAGUUAGCUUCACUACCAGUUUCGAAGAGCAAUUGAAGUGCUCGGUUAUACCCCUCUAUUAGAAGAUAUAAGAAUCCCUUUACCUACCAUUUUAACAUCAGCCUUGAAGGCUUUCCAAUUUAUUCUUAUCCUGUAAUUACCAGCUGAAGCAGUGACAAUCAAAUCAGAUGUUUUCCCAGGUCUCCUUAUCGCGUUCUUAAUCCGUUUCACCCCCUCCCUGCCCUUACAGGGCUGUUCCUUUUGCAAUCCGUGCUGAGGAUACCACUGGUCCUCUUGUGAUUAACACAGUGAUGCAAUCAGAGUUAUAAAAAGGUAGUUAGUAAAGAACAAGCAAGCUGCUCUAAACUUAGAUUAACCUGAAGCUAGCAAUGAAGUAUCCUCCAGUUCCUUUGGUGACUGAGCUGACUUUGCCUGUUUUCUUUUGCCUUUCUUUGCCAUAUGUACUAACACUGAUCAUAGCAGUGAUCUGGCUACGGCUCUUACUUAAUGAAGAAGAGAUGCCUCCUGCAGAAGAAACUAAGAAUCAAUCUCUGAUUGCUGAUGUGUCUCAUUCUGAAUCUAAACUUGAAGAUGAACCAACAGAUGAUGAAAGCCAGCAUGACACAGCAAGUCCAGAAUUUAAAGAGGACAAACAAUCUAGUGGCCCUGUGGGACAAUCAAGGCCCAAACCUGCUUAUCUGAAUUCAAAAGCAAACUGCCAUCUCAGAGGGCUGGUCCCAGAACCAAAGAUAAAACCCUCCCAUGUGGGAAGGAGCGUUCUCUGUAACAUCACAAUGCUGCUGUGCUCCAUGCUUUGUUCUCUCACUUGGACUUUUCUCAGCCACUUGCUCCAGAUCUGUAAUGUCCUGAGGAUUCAGCUUCUGCCAUCCUCUCUGGCUGUCGAUGCGGCUCGGCUUUGUGAUUUGCUGCGUGGAAAUGUUGUGAAAAUCCUGGGCUCCCCAAGGCUACAAAGCAGAGGGCUGUUAACUUCAAUCUUGGGGAUGAGAUACAAGAAAACAGAACAGAGUGCAGCUCAGAGGACUGCCUGGAGGUAGAAAUGAAGCCAGUAGUUCUAUGACUGUUAGCAGCAAUCCUGUUCAGCAUCGGUGAAAGCUACUCCAGCAUGGCAGGGAGAGGUUAAUUCCCUAAAAAAGAAAUGCAGUCUGGACUAAGCUGAUGCACUCAGGUCACAACAGCUAAUUUCCAAGUAAACAGUAUUGACUGGUUCUGUGUUAUUAAAUGGACCACAGCAAGUAGUAUCUCACGUAGAGCUUGGAAAUGUGCUCUGCUACUCUCCUACUGCAAAGUACAAAUCACUUUCAGAGUGGCUAAACACCCUUAGCAUGUAUGGAGCUGUGCAAAUACACCCUUUUCAGCACGUGAGGUUGGAUUCCACUACCAGAGACGGUCACUGCCAGCUCCCUGGGGCCACGAGGGGGCUAUGCUGUAGUUCUGUCCCCUAAAGGUUCUUGAGGAGCCGUUUGCCCGUUGCUUUGACGCACGCGUUGCACAAUUCGUCUGAAAAGACAAGUUGAAAAUAGGGAGUCACAGCCUGGGAAGCGUGCUGCCGUUUGUCCCUAUUCCUGAGGUGAAGGAAACUCUCCACAGCCCUGCAUGGGGAGACUGUGUAACGGUUCUGCUGCCUGUAAUUACGAAGCACGCCUUGUUUGCGUUUGCUUUUCCCACAGAUGUCCACGCGUCCAAAUAUUUAUGCAGGGCAGCAUGCUUUUAAAUAAAACUUGUUUGCUCGCUGUCUUUAUACCCGUGGUCGUUUAUUUCGAGGAGAUAUAUGCGGAUACGCCAUUCAUCAGCCGUUUGCUGAGCAAAUCGCCUUUACGCAUCCGCAGAGCU